GCUCAGAUUGAACGCUGGCGGCAGGCCUAACACAUGCAAGUCGAGCGGCAGCACGGGUACUUGUACCUGGUGGCGAGCGGCGGACGGGUGAGUAAUGCCUAGGAAUCUGCCUGGUAGUGGGGGAUAACGCUCGGAAACGGACGCUAAUACCGCAUACGUCCUACGGGAGAAAGCAGGGGACCUUCGGGCCUUGCGCUAUCAGAUGAGCCUAGGUCGGAUUAGCUAGUUGGUGAGGUAAUGGCUCACCAAGGCGACGAUCCGUAACUGGUCUGAGAGGAUGAUCAGUCACACUGGAACUGAGACACGGUCCAGACUCCUACGGGAGGCAGCAGUGGGGAAUAUUGGACAAUGGGCGAAAGCCUGAUCCAGCCAUGCCGCGUGUGUGAAGAAGGUCUUCGGAUUGUAAAGCACUUUAAGUUGGGAGGAAGGGCAGUUACCUAAUACGUAAUUGUUUUGACGUUACCGACAGAAUAAGCACCGGCUAACUCUGUGCCAGCAGCCGCGGUAAUACAGAGGGUGCAAGCGUUAAUCGGAAUUACUGGGCGUAAAGCGCGCGUAGGUGGUUCGUUAAGUUGGAUGUGAAAUCCCCGGGCUCAACCUGGGAACUGCAUUCAAAACUGUCGAGCUAGAGUAUGGUAGAGGGUGGUGGAAUUUCCUGUGUAGCGGUGAAAUGCGUAGAUAUAGGAAGGAACACCAGUGGCGAAGGCGACCACCUGGAC
rnacentral:rRNA from 1 species